rnacentral:lncRNA from 1 species
GCAACACCCUUAACAACAAGUUUCCUUUGCAACAGGGCCAUAACAUCAACACUCUUGGUAACUGCAUUGGUACCAAAACUUAUCUGUGACAAUAUCUUGAACAUUAAUGCCUUUAAGAGAAAUGCCCUUAAAAAUACCUUUAGCAAGCAUUUCCUUAGCAAACACGCUCCUAGCAACAGAGAGUAAGUUUUGUAAGGGCAUGUGAAUACGAAGGCAGAGACUGGAGUGAUGCCAAGAAAUGUGAAAGAUUUCCAGGAGCCAUCAGAAGCAAGGAAAAACGCAUGGAAAAGAUUCCGAGUGCUCAGAAGGAAGCAACCCUACCACCACCUGAUUUGGACUUCUAAGCUCCAGAACUAGCCCUGGCUGUGUUCACUGAAUGGAUCUAGUCUCUGAAAAUUCACCGACAUUUUUGGCUUGGCGCUGUGGCUCAUGCCUGUAAUCCCAGCACUUUGGGAGGUUGAGACGGGAAGAUUACGAGGUCAAGAGAUCAAGACUAUCCUGGGCAACAUGAUGAAACGCUGUCUCUACUAAAAACACAAAAAAUUAGCUGGGUGUGGUGGUGCGAGCCUGUAGUCCCAGCUACUCAGGAGGCUGAAGCAGGAGGAUUGCUUGAACCCAGGAGGCGGCGGUUGCAGUGAGCCAAGGUGGCGCCACCACUCUCCAGCCUGGCAACAGAGCGUGACUCCGUCUCAAAAAAAGAAAAAAAAAAAUUUCAGGGAUAUUUAUGUAGUGACCUGUUAUUUAAUUUUUCAAUAAUAUAAAUCUGUUUCAAGAAAAAGAAAUUUUAAAUAAACUCUUAUGAUUUUCUUUCUCCUGAAAAUUAUUCCAGAACUUAAAAAAAAAGAAGAAACAAAACAGAGUAAGUACAUUAGCUUUAUUCAACAUAGCAUCUUGUCUAGUAGUAAACUACUAAAAACAGUCUCCUGAGUGGAAAAAAUAUAAAUUUUUGUCUAUAGCAUCAGCGUUGUCCUGCGUGUUCUCAUUAUUUUCUCCAAAUAAAUUGGCUCAAUAUGCUGCUAAGUAUUACCAUUUAUGUUUAUUUUGAAGUUCUAUAUCUUGUCUUUCCUGUUUCAUCUGUAAACAGGCAAUUAUUGCCUCAGUGUGUAUUCUGAUACAUUUUCUCUCUAAAUCUAUUGUCCAACAUCUUGCAUAUAAAAUCUGGCUUUUCUCUCAUAUAUCAAAAUCACAGGUCACAUAGUCUCAGUGCCAAGAGUUAUAAGAACAACUACUUUAUUUCACUCCCAUCUCUGUGAAUACAAAACUUCAAUCUCUAAAGUAUUUUGUAUCUAUUUAUAACACUAUGUUCCUGGUUUAUUAUUAUAUUAUUUCAUUAUUAGUUCUUAAAAACUUAACAAGGUGCUGAAUAAUUUUGUGAAAUAUUCCAUGGAGAACUACCAUUAAAAUAGUGAUUACUUUAA